rnacentral:rRNA from 1 species
UUCCUACGGGACGCAGCAGUAGGGAAUCUUCCACAAUGGGCGAAAGCCUGAUGGAGCAACGCCGCGUGGGUGAAGAAGGUCUUCGGAUCGUAAAACCCUGUUGUUAGAGAAGAAAGUGCGUGAGAGUAACUGUUCACGUUUCGACGGUAUCUAACCAGAAAGCCACGGCUAACUACGUGCCAGCAGCCGCGGUAAUACGUAGGUGGCAAGCGUUAUCCGGAUUUAUGGGGCGUAAAGGGAAAGCAGGCGGUCUUUUACGCCUG